UUUCUCUCUCUCUCUCUCUCUCUCUCUCUCUCUCUCUCUCUCUCUCUUACACCCUCACACACAAAUUUUCAUUGUUUUUGCUUGGUUCUGGUUUUGCAAUUUUCUGGAGGGAGUCAACCUGUGAAUCAUUUGUUCAACUCGUGUACGAUGAAUGCUCCUAGGGUUGCGCAUAAUUAAUGUGAAGCCUGGGAUUGCACAUAAUUCAUGUGAAGGUUUCCAUCCUGGCUUGAAACAAUUGCGAUUCAGAGGAACGUGGUGGGUAUGGGAGUUGUGAUUAUGUUUGCUAAUGCAGUACAGCGACAUUUUCAAGGCUAAUUGAGGUUUUCCUAGUUAUCUUUUAAAAAGUGUAAAAAACGAAGGAAAGAAGCAGUAGUGUACUUUUUAGUCGAUGUCUUUUCCCAACUAAUCGAAGUCGGCUUUGAUGGAUUAGUAUUACUCUUGUUGGAUGGCAUCCCAUUGGCAUCAUUUCUGCGGGGAGAGAGAGAGAGAGAGCAAUUUAUGUGGAAAUUAUAGAAAAGCAAAUAUCCUUUAGUAGCUUUGGGAG
rnacentral:lncRNA from 1 species